rnacentral:lncRNA from 1 species
GCCCGGCCCCGCUCAGCUCUCUCCGCGGUCCCGCCGGGCCCUGCUCGCCAACCCCGUGCUGGGCUGAUUGCCGAGGUAGAUGCCACCCACGCACCCCCGCGGCUGGGGAGCGCGAGCUGGAGGAUGCGGAGAGGCCUGAGGCAGGGGGGCCAGGCGCGCGCGCCCUAGGCAGUCUCAGAGGGGCCUGCUGAAGACUGAGGACGGAGGUGGGGGCAACAGGAUGGGGAGCCCGCAAUAGCCCAUCCUGACCUAAUCCGAAAGGACGAGAUCCUGGAGCCGCUCACAAAGUUUUCCGGGCCCCCUCCCACGCGUCGCCUGCACGUAUGUCCGUUUCCCGACGCUCCGCCCUCCCCCGCCAAGUUCGGCGUCUCCCAGCUCAGCGGCAGUCAGGGUGCAGAGGGAGCCCGACCUUGUCCCCGCCUCGGCCCGUCCCGC